rnacentral:rRNA from 1 species
GACGAACGCUGGCGGCGUGCCUAAUACAUGCAAGUCGAACGAGAGCAACCGGUGCUUGCACUGGUCAAUCUAGUGGCGAACGGGUGAGUAACACGUGGGUAACCUGCCCAUCAGAGGGGGAUAACAUCCGGAAACGGAUGCUAAAACCGCAUAGGUCUUCGAACCGCAUGGUUUGAAGAGGAAAAGAGGCGCAAGCUUCUGCUGAUGGAUGGACCCGCGGUGCAUUAGCUAGUUGGUGAGGUAACGGCUCACCAAGGCCGUGAUGCAUAGCCGACCUGAGAGGGUGAUCGGCCACAUGGGGACUGAGACACGGCCCAAACUCCUACGGGAGGCAGCAGUAGGGAAUCUUCCGCAAUGGACGCAAGUCUGACGGAGCAACGCCGCGUGAGUGAAGAAGGUGUUCGGAUCGUAAAACUCUGUUGUUAGAGAAGAACAAGUGCUAGAGUAACUGUUAGCGCCUUGACGGUAGCUAACCAGAAAGCCACGGCUAACUACGUG